UCCGUGCGCACGCUUGAUCUGGGCCGUCCAUGCGCGCGGGGACGCAUCUGGGCCGUCUGAUCGCGCGCACGCGGAUCGCCCACGUGGCCCGUUCCCGGGUCGGCGUGGCCUUGCCACACAGCAGGUCCUGGUUGGCCAGGGCUGCUGACUGGGCCGCUGACGUGGCGUUGACGGGGCACAAUUUUUUCUAAAUUGCGUUUUGACCCCCCAGUUUCUGAUUUUCUUUUUAAAAAUACCCCCAUAAUCUAAAUUUUCACCCAUUUUUUUCAAAAUUAAUUUCAAUU
rnacentral:lncRNA from 1 species